CAACGCCGAGCUAGAGAAAAAAGGGCUUGGAACUCCUGCAUUGAGGUUCGGCUGCCUUUGUCAAUGUCAACGAUGGGAGGCAUCAAGGGUGGCGUAGGCAGCUUCCUCCUCCGUCGUACAGCCGCGAAGAGCAUCCGCCAGAAGCACUUCACCGGCCCGCAGUUCUACAAGCGCAAGACCUUCAACUUCCCAAUCGGUCACCAUCAGCUUCACCGCCGCGUUGCCCCGGCUCUGCAGACUGGGUCACCGACACAUCAGCGGGAGCAUCAGCGCUACGCCCACCUUCCGGGAGAUGCCCGCACACGGCCGAGCGAGGACUUCACCUUCUCCCGCUCGCCCUCGCCUCGCGACAGCGGACGGAGUCGGCAACGGGUAGACAAGGCCAUGUACGCCUGGGCGAAGCGUGGCUCACUGCAGCUCUACCAGAUGGGUGGCAAGCGCGAGACCUUUGUGUGCUACAGGUGCGGCUACCCUGUGCGGAGCGCUCUCGUCGCCAUCAAGGACGAUAACUGGGAUUACCGCAUGUGUUACAACUGCUACACAAAGACCGUGGACACCGGAAUGGAGAGAAACACGUAGGAGGGCUGACGCUUCUGGUGCGAGUCUGUGUGGUGGCUUUGUGCGCCGAGUGCCCCCACUCUCUUCCUCCGACUGUCUCAUCACAUACUCUAACCGACACGCUUCUGGAUUACGUCUGAAAAGGCCUGCAGGACUUGCAUGGAAAGCAGCAUUCGCGGGUGCGCCGAACGUUCGCCUGUGCGCGAAUGCCAAUACCCUGCAUGGCCUCUUGCGCACCUCCGUCCUGGUGCCCACGUACAGCUUCUUCCUCAUCGACGACGGAGAGAGCGGGCGAGCGAGCCGGAGGAAAGUCGACAACGCAUCUGCCGCGGUGACGGCUGCACAGUCGCUGGGAGGGUGUAUGGCGGCAUCAAAGUCGCCGAUCGCCCCUCACUGUUGGUGUUGGCCCUCUCGGCGGGCGGCCGCUUUUUCUCUUGCCGACGGUCUCGUGAUGAUCUUCAGUGACCAGCCUUUCACUUAUUCUUGUUUGUCCUCCUCUCGCCUCCCUCGUGAGUCGGUCAUCACGCACACGCACACGCACACGCAACGGUUUGCGAAG
rnacentral:misc_RNA from 1 species